rnacentral:rRNA from 1 species
AACGCUGGCGGCAGGCUUAACACAUGCAAGUCGAACGGUAACAGAACUAGCUUGCUAGUUGCUGACGAGUGGCGGACGGGUGAGUAACGCGUAGGAAUCUACCGAGUAGUGGGGGACAACAGUUGGAAACGACUGCUAAUACCGCAUAAUCCCUGAGGGGGAAAGGAGGGGAUCUGUUUACAGACCUUUCGCUAUUUGAUGAGCCUGCGUGAGAUUAGCUAGUUGGUGAGGUAAUGGCUCACCAAGGCGACGAUCUCUAGCUGGUCUGAGAGGAUGAUCAGCCACACUGGAACUGAGACACGGUCCAGACUCCUACGGGAGGCAGCAGUGGGGAAUAUUGCACAAUGGGGGAAACCCUGAUGCAGCCAUGCCGCGUGUGUGAAGAAGGCCUUCGGGUUGUAAAGCACUUUCAGCGAGGAGGAAAGGAGUAUGUUUAAUAAACGUGCUCUGUGACGUUACUCGCAGAAGAAGCACCGG